UGGGGAAUAUUGGACAAUGGGGGGAACCCUGAUCCAGCAAUGCCGCGUGUGUGAAGAAGGCCUUCGGGUUGUAAAGCACUUUAGGUGGGGAAGAAGUUACGCAGUUUAAGAGAUAGCGUGAUUGACGGUACUCACAGAAUAAGCACCGGCUAACUCUGUGCCAGCAGCCGCGGUAAUACAGAGGGUGCAAGCGUUAAUCGGAAUUACUGGGCGUAAAGGGCGCGUAGGUGGUUGCGUAAGUGAGAUGUGAAAGCCCCGGGCUUAACCUGGGAAUGGCAUCUUAAACUGCGUAACUGGAGUGCAGUAGAGGGUAGUGGAAUUUCCGGUGUAGCGGUGAAAUGCGUAGAUAUCGGAAGGAACACCAGUGGCGAAGGCGGCUACCUGGACUGAGACUGACACUGAGGCGCGAGAGCGUGGGUAGCAAACAGGAUUAGAUACCCCGGUAGUCC
rnacentral:rRNA from 1 species